CUUGCUGGGUGGAUUAGUGGCGAACGGGUGAGUAACACGUGAGUAACCUGCCCUUAACUCUGGGAUAAGCCUGGGAAACUGGGUCUAAUACCGGAUAGGAGCGCCNACCGCAUGGUGGGUGUUGGAAAGAUUUAUCGGUUUUGGAUGGACUCGCGGCCUAUCAGCUUGUUGGUGAGGUAAUGGCUCACCAAGGCGACGACGGGUAGCCGGCCUGAGAGGGUGACCGGCCACACUGGGACUGAGACACGGCCCAGACUCCUACGGGAGGCAGCAGUGGGGAAUAUUGCACAAUGGGCGAAAGCCUGAUGCAGCGACGCCGCGUGAGGGAUGACGGCCUUCGGGUUGUAAACCUCUUUCAGUAGGGAAGAAGCGAAAGUGACGGUACCUACAGAAGAAGCACCGGCUAACUACGUGCCAGCAGCCGCGGUAAUACGUAGGGUGCGAGCGUUAUCCGGAAUUAUUGGGCGUAAAGAGCUCGUAGGCGGUUUGUCGCGUCUGUCGUGAAAGUCCGGGGCUUAACCCCGGAUCUGCGGUGGGUACGGGCAGACUAAAGUGCAGUAGGGGAGACUGGAAUUCCUGGUGUAGCGGUGGAAUGCGCAAAUUUCAGGAGGAACCCCGAUGGCGAAGGCAGGU
rnacentral:rRNA from 1 species